rnacentral:rRNA from 1 species
AUGAACGCUAGCUACAGGCUUAACACAUGCAAGUCGAGGGGCAGCAUCAUCAAAGCUUGCUUUGAUGGAUGGCGACCGGCGCACGGGUGAGUAACACGUAUCCAACCUGCCGACAACACUGGGAUAGCCUUUCGAAAGAAAGAUUAAUACCGGAUGGCAUAGUUUUCCCGCAUGGGAUAAUUAUUAAAGAAUUUCGGUUGUCGAUGGGGAUGCGUUCCAUUAGGCAGUUGGCGGGGUAACGGCCCACCAAACCUACGAUGGAUAGGGGUUCUGAGAGGAAGGUCCCCCACAUUGGAACUGAGACACGGUCCAAACUCCUACGGGAGGCAGCAGUGAGGAAUAUUGGUCAAUGGACGAGAGUCUGAACCAGCCAAGUAGCGUGAAGGAUGACUGCCCUAUGGGUUGUAAACUUCUUUUAUACGGGAAUAAAGUGAGCCACGUGUGGCUUUUUGUAUGUACCGUAUGAAUAAGGAUCGGCUAACUCCGUGCCAGCAGCCGCGGUAAUACGGAGGAUCCGAGCGUUAUCCGGAUUUAUUGGGUUUAAAGGGAGCGUAGGCGGGUUGUUAAGUCAGUUGUGAAAGUUUGCGGCUCAACCGUAAAAUUGCAGUUGAUACUGGCGACCUUGAGUGCAACAGAGGUAGGCGGAAUUCGUGGUGUAGCGGUGAAAUGCUUAGAUAUCACGAAGAACUCCGAUUGCGAAGGCAGCUUACUGGAUUGUAACUGACGCUGAUGCUCGAAAGUGUGGGUAUCAAACAGGAUUAGAUACCCUGGUAGUCCACACAGUAAACGAUGAAUACUCGCUGUUGGCGAUAUACAGUCAGCGGCCAAGCGAAAGCAUUAAGUAUUCCACCUGGGGAGUACGCCGGCAACGGUGAAACUCAAAGGAAUUGACGGGGGCCCGCACAAGCGGAGGAACAUGUGGUUUAAUUCGAUGAUACGCGAGGAACCUUACCCGGGCUUAAAUUGCAACUGACGGAACCGGAAACGGUUCUUUCUUCGGACAGUUGUGAAGGUGCUGCAUGGUUGUCGUCAGCUCGUGCCGUGAGGUGUCGGCUUAAGUGCCAUAACGAGCGCAACCCUUACGGGUAGUUACCAUCAGGUUAUGCUGGGGACUCUACCCGGACUGCCGUCGUAAGAUGUGAGGAAGGUGGGGAUGACGUCAAAUCAGCACGGCCCUUACGUCCGGGGCUACACACGUGUUACAAUGGGGGGUACAGAAGGCAGCUACACGGCGACGUGGUGCUAAUCCCAAAAGCCUCUCUCAGUUCGGAUUGGAGUCUGCAACCCGACUCCAUGAAGCUGGAUUCGCUAGUAAUCGCGCAUCAGCCACGGCGCGGUGAAUACGUUCCCGGGCCUUGUACACACCGCCCGUCAAGCCAUGAAAGCCGGGGGUACCUGAAGUACGUAACCGCGAGGAGCGUCCUAGGGUAAAACUGGUGAUUGGGGCU